AUGCUCACUUUAAGAGCACAUAUACUAAAAUUAGAAUGAUACAGAGAAGAUCAGCAUGGCCCCAGCACAAAAUGACAUGCAAAUUAAUGCAGUGUUCCAUAUUUUU
ensembl:snRNA U6 U6 spliceosomal RNA